GUCUAAUAACAUAAAGUAGAGAGGGACUCUCUUCUCAGAGAAACACGUCACUAAUUGGAAGCACCAGACAAUGACGCGUGUCCUGAUAUUAACACUCGGGCGUUUUAUUAAUUUGAGUCGUGUUUUUGUAUCUCUGGGCUGGGAAAAUGGUAGGUUACGGUUGAUUUAAAAACAGGCCCAUAACCUGAAUAAGGAAAGCCCUAAGCUUUUGAUAAGAAAAAAAAAAAAGGAAAAUCCUAAGCGUGUCGUGUUGUGGUCUCCUUCGAGACUUCUCAUCUUCGUCUCUAUCAUCUCAGCACAGAAACGCUCACGAUUAUUUCUUCGUCGUGUUUAAUCUCCAUUAAUUCAAUCAAGCACGAUGUGGCCUUUAAUGCGUGCUUUGAUUCGAAGUCGGUGUAUCUACGAGUAUAAAUAGGCGAGCAUUCUUCCUCUUGCAACCAUCUUAUCAAUCUGUUUAAACAGCAAACACACAUUUAUUUUCUGAGAUAUUGCUAACUCCAAAAAUUUUCUUUUCGAUUUGAAGUCCGAUAAAUGUUCUUCUAGAGUUCAAGUUAGAUUGUUGCGAUUCUGGGAGGCGAGAUAUGUUAGGCCCAGUGGUGAACUCAUGUCCGUUCAUAUGUUCUUGCCUGAUUCGAAGGCAACUAUCAUGCCAGCCACUGUGAAUGCUAGCCACUUUUCCCGUUUUAUGGUGCGAGUCCAGCUCAGUCCUCCUUCAAGAAGGCUCCGGCGACUUAUGGGAUCGCGGCUAUGGGAAGGAGGAGAGCUUUUGGAUAUAAUACUUUCAAGAGGUGGGAAGUAUAAGGAGGAGGAUGCAAAGUUUGUUAUGGUACAAGAUAUUGUAAGUGAUUGCAUUUUGUCAUCUCCAAAGUGUUGUACACCGAUAUCUCAAACCCCAAGAUUUUGGCUUUUCAGAUUACAAUAAGAGGACAACUAACUUAUAAAGAUUGGGUUUUAGGUAAGAGACAAGUUCUUAUAGGGUCAAAAAAGGCAGCACAAAAAUUUACCUCUAAUAGAAGCAGCCAUAGAAUUCUGAAAAUGAAAUCCAAUGCAACUCACGAAGAGUUAAUCAAAUUGUGAAACGUAAAAGAAUAUGCAGGUUUCAAGUAUGCUCUGGAAACUUUGGUAGAGACACCUAAUAUGACUAUUAGGGUUGCAAAAUGGUUGAUUUGUAUCUUUUUAGCUUCGCUUAUAGAAAUACACUUAAAUUAUGUUUUUACUAUUCAAUCAUGGUAGUGUAAUGCUAACGAUUGUAAUCAACUUUGCAAAAAUCCAAAAAGCAAUCUUAAACCA